UUACGUCUUUGCUGUUUCACGGCACUGACUGACCGGACGUGACCGGAUAAGUUUACGCUUCACUCACUGUUGUUGUCGCACUUAGCCGUUAGCACUAUCAGACACACCGCAAAUAGAUCGUAAAUAAAUACUCGGAUAUUUCUACUUGUCAGUCCUGGGUUCGUCAUCGAUGCGAGGUUUCCUCAGCACUCUGCAAUGGAAGCGACUGAUGUCUUAGAUGAAGACAAUGCUGAGAGACUUAAUUUGCCUUCUCGUCCAGAGACUGUAACUGCUCGCAUAACUGAGGAUCACCAAUCAAAAUUUGUGCUACAAAAAAAGGAAGACUUGAACUUUUGGUCAGAAGAUGGUAGAUUUAAAGGCAUAUAAGGAACAAGGCAAAAAUGACAUCACUGCAGCCAGAACAGCAGCCCUAGCCAGUCUACCUCUCAUCAGAGGUCUUCAAAAUGUGCAAGGUUGAUUUGGAAUUGUCUGAAGAGGGAUCAGUGGUGAAUGAAGAGGAGGUGUUGGAGCUCUUUGAAACACACGAUGCGUAGAUUGUCCUUCGAGGGUCAGUUUGUAACGUCACACAGAUCGUGGACAGAUUCUUCUGUAAUUUUGGUUGGACUGAUGUAUGCACUUCAGUCCAGCGACCCCGAGAAGCUCAAUGGCUUCUUCAAAUUCAUCCAAGUUGUCCUCUUAAGUCUUGAUGAUGGCAGAAAGCAGCUCAAACCAAAAUUACAGUCCUUGAGAACUGAGCUGGAUUAGAGCAACUUUUGGUUCUUUUAUUUUGGUGUUUUUCAAAGAUACCAGCAGAAAUUGGAUACAGUGAAAUUGUUUUCAGUUUAUUUAUUUAUUCCAUGAAGUUUAACAUUUACUUUUUUCCUUUAUGUAACAAAGCAGGUCUUCCAUGGUCCCCAUGUCCACUAUUCAGGAUUCAGGUGGUUGCAGUAUGCAACUUCACGCCUUGGUGGCACUAAAUCAUACACACUUGUUCUUAAUUUAAUUUUGAUGGUGUUGUUUUGUAAUGCUCAUUAAUGUUUUGACUCAAUUACUGUGAUAGUUGAAGUGAUGUGAACUUUAAAUGAUUAUAUCGCUUUAAAAUCUCAAUCGCAGUGUCUGGCAGUUAAAUUGCAAUUUGAAAUUUGUGGUGACAGUGUGUCCAUGCACAUUUCGAAAAACCUUAACUUGUACAAUGCAAUGUUAUUCACUUAACGGUGUUCAUAGUUCAAUAUUUAAUAAAUGGUUUAAGUCAA